CACAGAGUACAACGGGAGCCAGGUGCCAGAUGGGAGAAUGUCCAUGAGCCAGAAAAGAGGAAGAAGUUCACACAAGCAAAGAGGGUCUGGCAAUUUUGGAGCUUGCAGAAGACCAUGGGCAGGCAGAGGCAGCAUAGCACAGGUGAUUCUGCCUCACCAGUGCAAGAACAAGCAUUUUGAGAGACCUCACAGAAGGCACCAGAAGCCAAGAAAGUAAAAUCAUCUGGAACAAGGUAAAAGGUGCAUAAAAGAGCCU